AGGCGGAUGAAACGGCGAAACCCUGUGGGUGCAAGCCAAAAUAGAGCUGAGAACGCGGCCGUCCAGCCGAGCUCGGGUAUGGCGCUAAGCUGAAUGCCGCCAAAGAACAGAAGGGGGCUUACUCUCCUCACUC
rnacentral:RNase_P_RNA from 1 species